rnacentral:lncRNA from 1 species
AUGAUUCCAUUUAGCCUACUAGGGAGAAGACAAACUUAUGAUUCAAGAACGCCUGGAACAAUCAUCAGAAAGGAACGGGGAAGACUGUGUAACCAAUCUGCUCCUUUCCACAUUACUCAUCAUCUCAGCCUCUUGCCCGCGGGACAGAUUCACUCGGUGACAGGCAGUGACAGUCAGAGCCCAACAAGGAUGCCGGUGCCACCAGAUGUUGCCGAAGCUCAUAAACUGGGUCAGCACAACCACGCUGUUGCAAGAGGUUCCGAACAAAGUGGGCCAGUUGAGGACACACGGCCGCUCAGGAGCUCCCAUGCAGGCAGCUGCUCAGAGACACAAGAAUUAUUAGGGUGAAGCUUCCAUCUACUUCUUUCAGUUUUCCUUACGGGGCUUCCUUUAAAGUCGUGAUCUCGAAAUAGCAAAUUCAGAUGGGUUCAGAUGAGCAAGAAAAAAUAUAUAAGCUGUGUUUUCAUAUCACUGCGUGAUAGCAACCUGUCACUUACAUCCAAGUGUUGCUCUGUAAUUUUAAAGCAACACAUGGCACGUAGACACACACACAUACACACACACACACACACACAACACACACAUUUAAUAUUAGAACAAGUUGUAAUGAAGUGUGUAUUAUGUUUUCUUGCUUUAACUUCUGUAUACUAUUCAUUUUUAUCUCCUCUUCCCCACAAAAUGACAUGUCCUCCAAGCACAGGGGCCAGGGCUAGCGGUGGCCUUUGGCCCUCGCAUGACCUAAGUCAAUAUUAAACACAUGCUAUUUGCUUGAUGAUGAGCCAGUUGGCUUUAAAGGGGUUUAUUUUUGCUUUUGUUCCUAGUAUCUCCAAAGGCUAUACAAGGAAACUGAAGACGACACAUAGAGUGAAAAAAAAAAAAAAAAAAAACCCAAGGUUGGAAAUGAUUAACUUGGACCAUAUUAAAAAAAUAUAAAGCUAAGCAGUUAAAUUUUAUCACUUGAAUGGAGGAUAUUAGUAGCCUGAAAUUCCUCGGCUUGUUUGGAAUGAUGUUACAGGUUAAUAUCCUGAAAACUGUGCCAACGCUUCAUGUUCUAGGCUUGUUUAUACCACAGCAUAAAUAGCGCACUUGUGGGUGCAUCUAGGUGUCUUUUUUACUAAUUCAUAGAGAUCCAUAAAAACUACAAAUAAAGGACGGUUCUCCAGACCA